rnacentral:rRNA from 1 species
CUACUCCCCUGUGUCGCCUUGCCCUCCCACGACGUGGGAUUAUUGCAACAAGUGGGCGACAAGCCUGAUGCAGCGACGCCGCGUGGAGGGAUGGACGCCGUUUCGGGUUACGUAAACCUUCGUUUCCGCCAGUAGAAGCGACGGCCUGCCUCCUUGGUGGGUGGUUGACGGUAGCGUGGAUAAAGAAGCCGCCGGACUAACUACGUCGCCAGCACGCCGACGGUAAUACGGUAGGCGCGAGUCGUUCGGACCGUAAUUAGUUGGACGUAAAGAGCUCGUAGGCGCGUGGUCGCGUCUGUCGUAGAACUCCUCGUGUACUUAACGGUGGGGCUCGCGGUGGGUACCGGGCCGUCUUGAGUGCGGUAGGGAGACUGGAACUCCUGGUGUAGCGGUGGAAUGCGCAGAUAUCAGGAAGAACACCGGUGGCGAAGGCGUCGACGCGGCCG